GUGGGCGUGUUGGAGUGGUUAUCGGGCAUGAAUAGAAAUCAUGUGGGCUUUGCCCGCGCAGGUUCAAAUCCUACUGAUCACG
rfam:Ipomoea nil DNA, scaffold: scaffold2283, cultivar: Tokyo-kokei standard.